UCAGUCCGACUACCUCAUAGUUUCGGCGAGAAACUCUGAAUAGUUUUUGUGACUUGGACUUUGAGGAAUUCAGGUAAGGCUUUUCGGCAGAGUAACAGUAGGGUCCCCCUCUCUAGAUGACUCUCAACCUUUAUUUAUAGAGUCUUCUCCUCGGAUCCUCAAAUCAUGAGCUGUCAAUAUCUAUCCAAAAUCAUUCCGUUAGGAGAGAAUUUUCUCAGAGAUUUGGUGGGGACCAGGGCGAUUGUCACAGGUAAAUUUCUCUUUGUCUGUAGUGUAGCCUUCCAGUCUUCUAGAAACUGUGGUCCCUCAUUUGAUGCAGGUGGCAAGGUGAGAUUGUUUUGUUGGUAAGAUCCCCCAAAGAAUGCGUGACCAUUUUGUGUUGAAUCUUUUAUUAAGCUCUUACUGCUGUAACUCUUAUUUUUGUUGCGGUAAGAAACUUAUUUUCACUGUCAUGUACAUUCAAACUUUUAAAUGACGUUCAAUUCAAAAAGACUCUAUUAUGCUGUCAUGUGUUUUUCAGCUCACAUUUUCAACCUGUGCUUGNAGAGUCUUCUCCUCGGAUCCUCAAAUCAUGAGCUGUCAAUAUCUAUCCAAAAUCAUUCCGUUAGGAGAGAAUUUUCUCAGAGAUUUGGUGGGGACCAGGGCGAUUGUCACAGGUAAAUUUCUCUUUGUCUGUAGUGUAGCCUUCCAGUCUUCUAGAAACUGUGGUCCCUCAUUUGAUGCAGGUGGCAAGGUGAGAUUGUUUUGUUGGUAAGAUCCCCCAAAGAAUGCGUGACCAUUUUGUGUUGAAUCUUUUAUUAAGCUCUUACUGCUGUAACUCUUAUUUUUGUUGCGGUAAGAAACUUAUUUUCACUGUCAUGUACAUUCAAACUUUUAAAUGACGUUCAAUUCAAAAAGACUCUAUUAUGCUGUCAUGUGUUUUUCAGCUCACAUUUUCAACCUGUGCUUGUCGUAGGUAUACAGGGCAACAAGAUAUCCGCUCAAUUUUGAUUUGGUUUGGAAAAGUUAUGUUGUGAAUCCGGGGUCUACAUUGCUCUGAUGUCUUGGA
rnacentral:lncRNA from 1 species